AUUUAAAUAGUUUAAAUAAAAUAUUGAUUUGUGGUGUCAAUGAUGAAAAUUAUUUUCUUUAAAUC
rnacentral:tRNA from 1 species